AACGCGAAGAACCUUACCUGGCCUUGACAUCUGUCGAAUCCUGCAGAGAUGCAGGAGUGCCUUCGGGAACGACAAGACAGGUGCUGCAUGGCUGUCGUCAGCUCGUGUCGUGAGAUGUUGGGUUAAGUCCCGCAACGAGCGCAACCCUUGUCCUUAGUUGCCAUCAUUCAGUUGGGAACUCUAAGGAGACCGCCGGUGACAAACCGGAGGAAGGUGGGGAUGACGUCAAGUCAUCAUGGCCUUUAUGGCCAGGGCUACACACGUGCUACAAUGGCAGGUACAGAGGGAAGCCAACUCGCGAGAGGGAGCCAAUCCCAGAAAGCCUGUCGUAGUCCGGAUCGGAGUCUGCAACUCGACUCCGUGAAGUCGGAAUCGCUAGUAAUCGCAGAUCAGCAUUGCUGCGGUGAAUACGUUCCCGGGCCUUGUA
rnacentral:rRNA from 1 species